rnacentral:lncRNA from 1 species
UUGGGUUUUAUCACAUUAUCACCUGUUUAAAAUCACAUUUUAUCUCCAUUCUUCUAAAUUUACUUUCAAAUACCUUUCUCUAUGUCUAUAAAUAGAAGGAAAUUUUAGAACUUUUAUAUUGUGUAUUAGUUUUACAUUAAGAACUGUGGCUCCCAAAUAGUAUUUCCCAUUUAGUUAAUUCAGGUGACUUCUCUGUAUUAAAUUUAAAAAUUACAGAUAUCACUAACCACUAUAAUUAUUUUUGGCUUUUUCAGCCACUGAAACAUUUUAUCUCCCUAUUAAGUCUCCCUUUAGUCAAGUUAGAAUGUACCUGUGGAUAGUAGAAGGCAGGCUCAAUCUCUGACAACAGUAUUAAUUUCUCUUGCUACGGCAGUGCUGUUUAGAAGCUGGUUUAGGUGUGAAUAUUUU